ensembl:misc_RNA 7SK 7SK RNA
GGAUGUGAGGGCGACAUCUGUCACCCCAUUGAUCGCCAGGGUUGAUUCGGCUGAUCUGGCUGGCUAGGCGGGUGUCCGCUUCCUCCCUUACCGCUCCACGUGCGUCCCUCCUGAAGCUGCGCGCUCGGUUGAAGAGGACGGCCAUCCCGGCUAGAGGAGGACCGGUCUUUGGUCAAGGGCAUACGAGUAGCUGCACUCCCCUGCUAGAACCUCCAAACAAGCUCUCAAGGCACAUUUGGGACAUGAUUGAAUAGCUGAGUUCUUU